UAGGGAAUCUUCCGCAAUGGGCGAAAGCUUGACAGAGCAACGCCGCGUGAGUGAUGAAGGUCUUCGGAUCGUAAAACUCUGUUAUUAGGGAAGAACAAAUGUGUAAGUAACUAUGCACGUCUUGACGGUACCUAAUCAGAAAGCCACGGCUAACUACGUGCCAGCAGCCGCGGUAAUACGUAGGUGGCAAGCGUUAUCCGGAAUUAUUGGGCGUAAAGCGCGCGUAGGCGGUUUUUUAAGUCUGAUGUGAAAGCCCACGGCUCAACCGUGGAGGGUCAUUGGAAACUGGAAAACUUGAGUGCAGAAGAGGAAAGUGGAAUUCCAUGUGUAGCGGUGAAAUGCGCAGAGAUAUGGAGGAACACCAGUGGCGAAGGCGACUUUCUGGUCUGUAACUGACGCUGAUGUGCGAAAGCGUGGGGAUCAAACAGG
rnacentral:rRNA from 1 species